CGCAGACAAUGCCUACUGGCCUA
rnacentral:miRNA from 1 species